rnacentral:misc_RNA from 1 species
UUAUUUCAGUAUGGCUUCAGUUCUAUACAUAAAGCACAACAAUAUGUUAAUACUUGAGUGUUUAUGAAAAAAUAACAACCUGAUUAGCGAUGCUAUUUAUGAACGACAAAGGCACAAGUUUUCACAACAAUUUCAAAUUAUAGUUUCCAAAGUAAAUGAUAACUUGAAAGAAACUCUUUUCUAUGCAUGGGUGUUAUAACUUGAAUCAAGUGCAUAAUAAGCUAAGCAAGUACACCAAAUUAUAGCAUUAAAAGAAGGCCAAAUCAGCCAAUGUCUAAAACUUAGGAUUAGCUUAUUUACAAACAAAUAAUUCCAGAUGCCAUCCAUGAGGUUCAGAGAAAUCCCAUAGAGGAAGCACAGUUAUUUAAAGAUCAAAUUAAAUAAACAACUAAAUGGAUAAAAAUAAGCCCUGUAAAGUUUGAAAAUGAAACAAAAUUUCACCAACUUGAAAUUUACUCUAGCCCUUUAAAAAAAUCUUUAUAGAAUUGUGUACAUGCCACAUAAUAUUUCAGCACCAUCCCUAAAUUUUUGGGUUUAAACUUUGAAGUGUAAUGAUAGUUAAGUCUGG